CCAAAUCUUUUUCUUUUGAAUCUGCAGAUAAUAAGUGGGAGAAUAAGAAACACAGAUUUAACUACAUUGAUACAUAAAAUAAUGCAUGUUGAAUGAGUAAUGUUUGAUUUCCUAACAGGACAACAAUGUACUUUCCAGAGUCCUCAUGACCCAAGAUAAAGGUGACUCUGGAUAUUUUUUGCUUUGGAAGUGUAGCAAAGAGAGGUUCGGGGAUAAUAUUCUCUUAUAAAACUUAGAAGGUAAACCAGAAUGGGCAUUCCCAUGGAGGAGCUCAAAAAGAAACUCCUGAAAAUUUACAGAAA
rnacentral:misc_RNA from 1 species